AGAGUUUGAUCAUGGCUCAGAACGAACGCUGGCGGCGUGUUUAAGACAUGCAAGUUGAACGGGGAAUCUUUGGAGCUUGCUUUGAGGAUUCCUAGUGGCGCACGGGUGAGUAACACGUGAGUAACAUGCCUCGCAGAGGGGAAUAGCCCGCCGAAAGGCGGAUUAAUACCCCAUGGUCCCGCAAGGGUAAAGGUGGCUUCGGCUGCCGCUGCGAGAUUGGCUCGCGUCCUAUCAGCUUGUUGGUGAGGUAACGGCUCACCAAGGCAACGACGGGUAGCUGGUCUGAGAGGACGAUCAGUCACACUGGAACUGAGACACGGUCCAGACACCUACGGGUGGCAGCAGUCGAGAAUAAUUCACAAUGGGGGAAACCCUGAUGGUGCAACGCCGCGUGGAGGAUGACGGUCUUCGGAUUGUAAACUCCUGUCAUUUGAGAGUAAGACCUGGUCGUUAAUAGCGGACAGGGUUGAUAGUAUCAAAAGAGGAAGGGACGGCUAACUUCGUGCCAGCAGCCGCGGUAAUACGAAGGUCCCGAGCGUUGUUCGGAAUCACUGGGCGUAAAGGGAGCGUAGGCGGUUAGGUAAGUCAGAUGUG
rnacentral:rRNA from 1 species